rnacentral:rRNA from 1 species
CCCUUAGAUGUUCUGGGCCGCACGCGCGCUACGCUGAUGCAUUCAACGAGUUUCUUCCUGGUCCGAGAGGAAUGGGUAACCUUUUGAAAGUGCAUCGUGAUAGGGAUAGACUAUUGCAAUUAUUGGUCUUCAACGAGGAAUUCCUAGUAGACGUAGUUCAUCAGACUGCAUCGAUUACGUCCCUGCCCUUUGUACACACCGCCCGUCGCUCCUACCGAUUGAAUGCUCAGGUGAGCCAUUCGGACUUUCAUCAUGCUGGUUUCCAGUUUUGAUGAAGGAAAGUCUUGCGAACCUUAUCAUUUAGAGGAAGGAGAAGUCGUAACA